rnacentral:rRNA from 1 species
GACGGAGGGUGCAAGCGUUGUUCGGAUUGACUGGGCGUAAAGGGCGUGUAGGCGGUUGGUCAAGUCUGAUGUGAAAGCCCGGGGCUCAGCCCCGGAAGGGCAUCGGAAACUAGCCAUCUGGAGCGCGAUAGAGGAGGGUGGAAUUCCUGGUGUAGCGGUGAAAUGCGUAGAUAUCAGGAGGAACACCGGCGGCGAAGGCGGCCCUCUGGAUCGUUGCUGACGCUGAGGAGCGAAAGCCAGGGGAGCAAACGGG